AGCAUUAUAUUAUUAUUUUUCAUUCCUAAUCAUGUAAAAUGGAGUGGAGCAUAUCAGGAUGGGGAUGGUUUAACACUAGGAGAGGAGGUGGAACAGUGCAAUGCGUUUCUCUCCAGGAUUGCAGUGACCACAAAACACUAAAGCAGGGCGCACAGACAUGCUGACUCUCAUGGCCAUGCGCUGGAAUCAAGCAAAGUUUAACAAUUUGGCCACCGCACUGAGCCGCCAAUAUCAGAAGCAACAACAACAACCACUACAAAUGAUGUUGAUGCUUUGGCCAGCAGAAUUUAGGUGCUGUUGGCGAGUUUUAAGAGGCGUU